CCGAAGUACCAAUGCUACUCACAACCUCAACAUAAAAAGAAGCGAAACAGAAGAGAAGAGGGAGGAAGAACCGAAAUGACUUCAUUUCCCAGGUCUGAGAGUUAGAGCGAAUAUGAUCGCUUGGCAAGUCUAUUUAUUGAGGUCUAUUUAUUGAGGUAGACUUAUCACUCCCAAUUCCGGACACACUCUGUUUCGUUCAGAAUUCUUACAACACAUGGAACAGUUGAUCGAAAGAGAAAGGGUACUUACAGGUCCACCCUGCAGCCACAGGAUAGUUGGCCAUGGAGUCGAGCCAUUGUCCACUCUUUGAGGACUCCUGUAGAGCCACCAGAACAUGUGUGCUCCUGCACCACCACAGCUCCAUCAAACAAAGCAAGUAGGGUUGGAAUAGGAGAAACCAAAGAGAGGAAAAAAAACCUAAAUUACCUGGCCUUACUUCGACAUAACCCCAUUCCUCUGCUCCAUCCGAAGUACCAAUGCUACUCACAACCUCAACAUAAAAAGAAGCGAAACAGAAGAGAAGAGGGAGGAAGAACCGAAAUGACUUCAUUUCCCAGGUCUGAGAGUUAGAGCGAAUAUGAUCGCUUGGCAGGUCUAUUUAUUGAGGUAGACUUAUCACUCUUUAGAAUGAUCGGUUUGAUGGUUUUUGAUCUAUUGACCUUUAUCUUAAUUAAUCGUUGAGCGAAUAUGAUCGCUUGGCA